UGAAAUUACGCCUUCCAUGAAGCCGGAAUUGCUAGUAAUAGGCAGGUCAGCAUACUGCCGUGAAUACGUUCCCGGGCCUUGUACACACCGCCCGUCACACCAUGAGAGUUGGGAAUACCCGAAGCCUGUGAGCUAACUUUUAGAGGCAGCAGUCGAAGGUAGAAUCAAUGAUUGGGGUGAAGUCGUAACAAGGUACC
rnacentral:rRNA from 1 species